rfam:Cathartes aura contig172428, whole genome shotgun sequence.
AUGCAGUGAUGAUCUCUUAACUGGUGCUUUUGACUCACUGUUGAAUGAAGACAUGAAUUUCCUUGGCUGUGUCUGAGCAU